CGGCCGGGGCCAUCCGCCGCCAUCCGCCGCCAUCCGCCGGCCCCGCCGCCGCCCGCCCGCCGGGACUGAGCGCGGCGUCUCCGCCCCGCCAUGAGGGCCAAGUGGCGCAAGAAGCGCAUGCGCAGGCUGAAGCGCAAGCGGAGGAAGAUGAGGCAGAGAUCCAAGUAACGGCCGCGGAGCAGGGCCCGGCCCGGGGCCCCCGGUGCGCUCGGGGCCGCGCGGCUGCCGUUGUGCUGUGAAUAAAGCUGGUGGUGACAGCG